rnacentral:rRNA from 1 species
AUGAUAAAGAAAAGUUCAUUCAUGAACUUCCUCACUUGGUCAUCUAAACUACAGAGAGAGGAAAUCAUGCAGGUCAUAUGGCCAGCGUUCAUCAAACAGACCACCUUGAGGUGCAUUUUGGCUCACAAGUACCUCCUCUUCAGCCUGCAUGAAAAGUGGUGGUUGCUCGCUGCUGGAUCCAUCAGCUCCAAAAAGCAAGUUGUAGAAGCCUGCAGCAGCAGUCCUUGCUCCUCUGGGAGGAUUGGUACCAGUUGUGUCUCCCCUUUGAGCAGUGCCUCCUCUUGCUCACUAGACUGUGUUGCUUGUUGUCCUGCAGUAGCCGCACUCCUUCUCACCCUGCCCCUUGACAUGGCUGUUGUCACCCUACAGGGAUUCUAUCUCUAG